rnacentral:rRNA from 1 species
CCUACGGGGGUCAGCAGUGGGGAAUAUUGGACAAUGGGCGAAAGCCUGAUCCAGCCAUGCCGCGUGUGUGAAGAAGGCCUUCGGGUUGUAAAGCACUUUCAGUGGGGAAGAAAGCCUUGGGGCUAAUACCCUCGAGGAAGGACAUCACCCACAGAAGAAGCACCGGCUAACUCCGUGCCAGCAGCCGCGGUAAUACGGAGGGUGCGAGCGUUAAUCGGAAUUACUGGGCGUAAAGCGCGCGUAGGCGGUCUGAUAAGCCGGUUGUGAAAGCCCCGGGCUCAACCUGGGAACGGCAUCCGGAACUGUCAGGCUAGAGUGCAGGAGAGGAAGGUAGAAUUCCCGGUGUAGCGGUGAAAUGCGUAGAGAUCGGGAGGAAUACCAGUGGCGAAGGCAGCCUUCUGGACUGACACUGACGCUGAGGUGCGAAAGCGUGGGUAGCAAACAGGAUUAGAUACCCCUGUAGUC